rnacentral:rRNA from 1 species
GACGAACGCUGGCGGCGUGCUUAACACAUGCAAGUCGAACGAUGAACCCGGAGCUUGCUCCGGUGGAUUAGUGGCGAACGGGUGAGUAACACGUGAGUAACCUGCCCUUGACUCUGGGAUAACUGCGGGAAACUGUAGCUAAUACCGGAUACGACCCUCGGCGGCAUCGCCAGGGGGUGGAAAGAAUUUCGGUCAAGGAUGGGCCUCGCGGCCUAUCAGCUAGUUGGUGAGGUAACGGCUCACCACGGCGACGACGGGUCGCCGGCCUGAGGGGGUGACGGGCCACACUGGGACUGAGACACGGCCCAGACUCCUACGGGAGGAAGCAGUGGGGAAUAUUGCACAAUGGGCGCAAGCCUGAUGCAGCAACGCCGCGUGAGGGAUGACGGCCUUCGGGUUGUAAACCUCUUUUAGUAGGGAAGAAGCGAAAGUGACGGUACCUGCAGAAAAAGCACCGGCUAACUACGUGCCAGCCGCCGCAGUAA